AGUUAAUAAAAUUACAUAUUCAUGCUAAAGGCUCAUGGCUUCGCCCUAGCAAAAGAAAUUUGUUACACAUACUCAUAAUAAAAAUCAAAGAAAAUAUUUUUAGAAUGAAAACACCUUGAAGUAGAAGAUCUAAAAGCCUUUGAAAACCCUAGCAAAGUUCUCUGUCUCCAAAGUUGAAUAAAAGAAAGCGUAACCCAAACUAAGGCUGACUAAAACCUUAAAUAUAUCCCUAAAACCAGCGGCACAAUCCCUGAGAACCAAGUCUCUUAUUUCCACUAGGAAGCUAACUAAUAAUAAUAAUAUAACUUAGAAAAUAGAGUUUUAAUUAAACUAGGACAAUCUGCACAUAAACUGUCCAGCCACGUUUUAGCCUCAAAUCUCCCCUAAAUUCAGCCCCUAAUAGCUUGUUUUGAAGAUCGGGACAUUCUGAACACAUCUCUAGAAGGCCAUGAACCCAUCCGAGGUCAUCUUGGGCUCCAAAAAUGCAAUUCAAGCCCAAAAUGUUAUUAUUCCAACAUCUUUAUUCUAUUGCCAGAAAAUAACCGCCUGGUGGAAAAGUCUGAUAUUUUGACACGAUCAAGCUAAGUGACUCACGAACGUCCUCCAAUUGGAAUUACUACAAAAUUCAUCAAUUUGACCAUGUUUUGCUCCAGAGGAAGUCGAAAGUCCUAUAAUGGAAAUACAAUUCAACGUAUCAAAAUUCUUCCAAAAUAUUAACCAAAAUAUACUAAGAAUAGGGUUAAAUAUAUAAUAUAAAAUUCACUCAUCAAAAUACCUCCAAACUUAGCUUUUUGCUUGUCCUCAAGCAAAACAAGACUCAAACAAAAAUAAAAACUUAACAAACUAGACACCUAGCUAAAACUUAACCAAGACAAAACUUCCACCUUCAAGUUGCAAUCCAUAGCAAAUUUUAAAAACUAGAACAUUUUUCAAACGAUCCACCCAAUCCCACCACAGUGUCUAAGCUAUUUAGAAUCAAUUAGAAAAGAAUUCACAAACUUCCGUUUGUGUAAAGUGAAUCAUCAAAGUUAAAGAGACUCGACGAAAACCCUUACCUCUCAUCCCUAUUAUUCAUACUUCACAUACUUAUAUAAUCAUUCUUUUUUUGUUUUGUUUUCGAUUUUGUUGUUAUAUAAUAUUUUUUUCCAGUAACAGUAGUGGUCAGGCAAUAUCGGUUCCCUUAAACUUUCGAUCCAACCCAUGUAGCGAGCUUUAGGUCAAUGACUCCCAAACCACUAGGGCUUUAGGGCACUAGGUGUAGAACACUCCUAAGGACUUAUUAACUUGAGUUGAAAAGGCUAUGAAACCAACUAACCACCCUGCCCAUGUCAAAACUCUACCGUUUGAUUCGAGAAUCACUGCUGAUUAGGCAGAACUAACCUGGUUACUAGGCAAAGCCUCGGGUGAAACAAUUAUUACUUUGUAACACAUACUAACUUUAUUUUAUAUAGAACAAAAAUUAAAAUACACUUAGACAAAAAGUAAGUGUUUCAAUCUCACUCCCCACAAACCAUGUUGGUGUGAUGUGCAAAUUUCAAAGUAUAAUUCAUGAAUUAGUGUCUAAGCAACGAUAAAUAGAAAAGACCCUACUGUGGGAUUAACCCUUAUCAUGUCCAUUUGUUUUAAUGUUUAAAACAAACUAUGGAUACUAACUUAAAAACGAAAAUUUUAGACAAGACUCAAAAAUUAAAAAUCUAAAAUUUACUUUCCCACCCCCAAACUUAAAUCACACAUUGUCCUCAACAUGUGGAAAAUAAAUAAAAAAAAACGAUAAGAUAAAAACAAUUGGAACUAAGAUGAAGAAACUAAACUAUUCAAAAUCAUGAAAAGAAAACGAAAAUGAAAAAAACUAAAAGGAAAAGAAGUAACAAAAAAAAACAAAAUAACAGAGAGAAAAAUAAAGAAAAAUAAAGAAACUAAACUAUUCAAAACAUCCUUCUCAGACAGACAUGGAAGGCUCUAGAUUUGUACAAGUGUCGUGCAUCCCGAUGGUGAGUUCCUUAGGAUUCCAACUGAAAAGCUCCAUCAGGUUCCAUUUCUCUUAGAAACCAGUUCUCUCUAAAAUGAAAAGAACUCUCCUCCUCUAUCUUUAGAAAAUCUGAAAAGAUUCUCUCUAAGCUCUUCCCAUUUUCAAAACUCUCAAACCCAGCCAUCAUUUCAAACCUCCCUUUCAAAACAGCCCAUUCUCUUCCACUUCUUCAUUUCUCUGAAAGAAAAACUCAAGAGCAUUCUCUCUCUUGCUUCAUUUCGGAAAUAACACCCUAAGAAUCAGCCUUAGCCGUUCUUCUCAACCAAACCUUCCGUCUCCCAUGCCUCAAGCCAUCAUGGAUUCAAGCUCAGAUCAUCAUCACCGGCAGUGUCUGAGAUGCUUAGACCCAAAGAUUCAAAGUCCAAUCAUGCAGAUUGAGACCAUUUCGAACAUGCAACAGUAAUCACCUCCCACUCUAUGCAAUAUAUAUAUUUACUAAUUUUGUUUUCCCUGUGAUUCGUCCUUGUAUGAGCUCACACUGAAGGUCUUAUGUGGUAGGGGCUGGAGAUCCGUAAGGAAAAUGAAGAUAUAUACCCGAAGAGUCCCCCCAAUUCACGGAUCUAUGAACUCGAAACACACAGAUCUACGAACAUAGAUUCGGUAUAACCAAGGUCUUAAAUGCCGAUAAUAUCGGCGAAAUAUCGCUGAUAUUAUCGAUUUUUCGCGUUACCGAUAUUUUAAUAGGUAUCCAAUUAGUUUCGUCAAAAUAUCACGAUAUUACCUAUAAUAUCGAGAUGUUUCGCCGAGAAUAUCGAGAUUAUACCAGAUCUGUUUAUUGGGUUGGCUGAGGAUUUCGUUUCCAACGAAGAGGUACCGAAUCAGAGUCUCCGGGUAAAAGGGGACGACGUUGGUGUGGACCCAAUGGUCGGCGAGCGUCUGAUUGGAGGCAGUGAGGAUUUUGGGGUUGGCGUCGUAGAGCUUGACUCGCUUGGCCUUGAGAGACUGGAUGAGCUUCACCGACUGCGACGGUGGAGGGAGGUUGUUGCCCAGCUGGCCAUAGUUCACACCCACCUUGGAGGCGAGCUCCGCACCUGAAAAAAUCAAAAGGGGUGAGAGAAAAAUACCAAAUGAACAAAACCCAUGUCGCAAUUUUUGAGAUUUUGGGGAAGAAACUUACUGGAAAUGGAAACUGAGAGGCAGAGGAUGAGCAGGGGGAGAAAACCCAACUCCAUUUUUUGUGGAUUUUGAGCUGCCAGAGUAACUAAAAGAUGAGCUUUUCCUAAUUGCGUGAGUUUUAGAGCAGAAAGAAGUGAUCUGGAGCUCAAAGAUUGGAUCUUUGAGGAAAAAAAUAAGAGAUAAAAUGAAGGAACUAGGGCGCACUGAGCUGCUGCUACUGGACCCUUGUAUAAAAAAGGAAGGAGUGAGAUGUUGCAGGUGUUUGAGGAGUGAAAGAAGAUUGGGAAUAGAAAAGAUAAAGAAAAGAAGAAAGGGAUGAGAGAGAGAGAGAGAGUGAGCAGAUGACUUUAUAGAAAAGAUAAAGAAAAGAAGAAAAGGACGAGAGAGAGAGAGAGAGAGAGAGAGAGAGAGAGAGAGAGAGAGAGAGAGAGAGAAAGAGAGAGAGUGAGCGGAUGGAAGGAUGGAAGGAAAGAAUAAAAGGUUAGACUGUUUUUGGGGUUUAUUAAAUUAUUAUUAAGUUAAUGAGGCUUACUAUUUUGCUUGGUUUCCAUCAAACCCAAAAAUACUUGAAAAAUUGUGUGUUUAAACUUUUUUCAUUAAUUACUACAUAUUUUCUACACUCACAAUGUUUGCCAGCUCGUUAUAUAAUCAACUUAAAUCAGUUAAAUCCAUCAUGCAAUGAAUUUCCUUCUAAUUUUUUGUGAUAAACUAAUAGAUAAUUGACUAAAUAAACAUCCUGCAAAGUUUCAAUAAAAAUUUCCAAGUUUUUCUUACAAUUUCCGUGGUUUCCAUAUUAUUUUUAUUGAUAUCGAUAAUAUCCCGAUAUUUCCAUCGAUAUUUCCGUGUUUUUGGACUACCGAUAUUUCCGAUAUCAUCGAUAUUUAAUACCUUGGUUAUAACUCAUCCUCUUUCAAUUUAUUGCAAGUUUAAUCUUGACUACCCCCAAACUUGAAUGCUGCAAUAGUGAUCUGCUAAGUUUAUAUCUAAUGGUCAAAGUUUGUGUGUUUGUAAAUUCGAAUCACAAAAUUAACUGGACCUACUGGGAAGCUAAGAGAAAAUCCUAAAUGCACAUUUGCAUAGGUAUAAUCCCGAACUUGCUCCAUAUUUUCUUCAUUGAUUUAAGCUUUAAGUAACUGUUGUGGUUGAUAGUAGACUUGCUGUUGGGUGCAUCUAGUACUUGCAUUUCCGUAUCUUGUUUGUGCCUGGAAUGUUUUGAAAGCAACAUGCAUAUUCGUAGACUUUUGUAUCAGAUUCACAUAGAUAUUGCUAGAAAAAGAUAAAUUAAAAACAAAAUAUUUUUGUAGUUUUCAAAUUUUUUUUAAUUUUUAAUUUUUAAUUGCAUAGUAAGUGAAACAAAUAAUAACGAAAUUAACAACCAUAAAAUACUUGACCAAAUUUAAAAGAAACUAAAAAGAGUAGGGAUAGAAAAUUGGGUUGCCUCCCAACAAGUGUUUUAGUUAACGUCCAUAGCUAGAUGUUGCCGAAGGCUAGUGAUCAAGUUAUUUGUUCCUUCAGAGUUGAUGACUCGCUUGCACUAAACUUCCUUAUAAAUGGCUUUAGUUAAUACUUCUUGACCUUGAGCAUACAACCCUUUCCCUUUAUUUCAAUAUCCACGUUACCAUUUUGAAAAACCUGCAUAACCAUAUAAGGGCUUUUCCACUGAGACUCUUGUCACCCUGGAAUUAAUUUAAAACUGGAAUUCAACAACCACACCUUUUUACCAGUCUGUAAUUUCUUAAAAUUUGGGUUGCCUUGCAACUUUUUAUGUUUUUUCUUAAUGUUAAUCGGUUGGACAUCAUGUUGCACACUUUGUUGCUGCAUUUUAGGACUUAUGCAAUCAGAAAUCAAAUUUGGAGGCUUUAUGGACAGAUGGUCAGUUGAUGAUCUGGUCAUAAACUCGGCACUAGGUAAACCAUCUAAUGCAUCAACAUGCAUGCAUUCUUGCUUUUCACCUGGAUGUGUGGUAGCUUCAAACAACCUAAAAACAACCGUUUGAUCUUCAACCCGAAAUGUUAGUGUUCCAGCUUCAACGUCAAUGAGAGUACCAGCUGUUACCAUGAAAUGGUAGCCCAAAUGAUGGGUGUUUUCAAAUCCUCAUCCAUGUCUAGAACCAUAAAAUCAGCUGGCAAAAAUAAGUUGUCCACCUUUACAAUAACAUCUUCAGUGACCCCUCUAGAAUAGGUUAUUGAACGAUCUGCCAAUUGAAUAAUGCUAGAGGUUGGCUUCAGCUCACCUUCACCUAGACGUUUAAACAGAAAAUAAGUUGUCCACCUUUACAAUAACAUCUUCAAUGACCCCUCUAGGAUAGGUAAUUGAACGAUUUGCCAAUUGAAUAAUGUUGGAGGUUGGCUUCAACUCACCUUCACCUAGACGUUUAAAAAUAGAAUAAGGCAUUAAGUUUACACUAGCUCCUAAAUCAAUUAAAGCACUAUUACAAUCAAAAUUUCCAAUGGUGCAAGAGAUAGUAAAACUCCCUGGAUCUUUUUUCUUUGGAGCCAAUUCAUGCAAUAAGACAGCGCUGCAUUGUUCUGUUAGCAUAAUUUUUCUGACUCAACAAGCUUUCUUUUCUUACUGCAAACAUCCUUAAAAAUUUUGGCAUAGGAAUGAAUCUUUCUAAUGGCUUCCAACAAUGGCAAAUUAAUAUGAACUUUAGCUAAAGUUUGCAUAAAAUCUUUUAAUAGCUGAUCAUUAGCCUUCAAAAUCAAUCUUUCUGGGUAUAGUGUUGGAGGCUCAUAAACAUGUUCAGGAGUUUGCACUGAGGGAAUGUUAGAUUCUGUCAGGUUGUGUUUUGCUGCAAUUUUAGUAAUUGUUUUUUAUGUUGGCUGCACAACGCUAAUUUCUUCAUUUGUUCAGUUGUUAUAACUAUUUCCGGAUCUCAAAGUCCUUAUUGCACAACAAUCUUCUGUACCUCUUGGAUUUGGAACUGUUUGGCUGGGAAAUUUCCCUUUUUCUCUUUCUGUGAUAUAACUUGCUAACUGCCCAAAUUGUUCUCCAAACUUUUAAUUGAUGCUUCAACAUUUUGAAUUCUUUAUUGCUGCCAUCUAUGAAUGAUUGAGUUGUGGCUGCCAAUUUAGCAAGUUGAUCUUCCAAAGAUGGUUUGGAUGGAAUAAAUGGUUUUUGUGUAUUCUGGAAUGGUUUUGCAUUAUUCUGAUUGUCACCCGAUUUGAAAUUAGGGUGAUCCCUCCAUCUUAUAUUGUAAUGAGUUGCAUAUGCAUCAUUCCUAGGCCUUUGAUAGCUAUGCAUCAUAUUAACAUGUUGCUUAACAAGCUCCGGGUAGGAUUCUUUAUGCAAGCAUCCCAUUAUAUCGUGCUUAGCCAUGCUGCAAAUACUGUAAACUGUUGGUGUAGGUGGUUGUUGUGUAGAAUUUGCUAUUUGUUGUAGAAUAAUAUCAAACUUUGCAUCCAUUUUCUUCUCCAUUUUUUCUAUUUGUGCAGACAUGUUAGGAGAACCUGCUGAUAACUCAAAAAUACCCCUUUUCUGUGAAUGUUCUGCUGCCCACUAUUGAGAUUCUAUAGCCAUCAUGUCAAAUAAUUAAAAUACCUCCCUUGCAGAUUUAUUUGACAACGAUCCUCCAGUUGAGGCAUUAACAUGGCUUUUAGAUGUAGGAUUAAGCCCAUCAAAGAAAAUAUUCAUUUGUGUAUCUGAAUCAAUAUUUACAUGUGGACACUUUAUGUACAUCUUUGUAUAUCUCUCCUAAGCUUCAUAGAACUCUUCAUUAGGCUUUUGAGUGAAUGCCAUAAUUUCCCUCUUAUAAUUCAUUGUCUUGGAUGUUGGAUAAUGUUUAUUCAGAAAUUUUGUAUGUAAUUGUUGCCAAGAAGUAAUGCUAUUAGCCGGUAGAGUGAACAACCAAAUUUCCGCCUUAUCCUUCAAAGUGAAAAGGUAAAGACGUAACUUAAUAGCUUCGUAGAAAAACCCCUAAUCAAAAUAUUUUUGCAACCCACAAGAAAUUUUGCAAUAUGUAUGUUCAUAUCCUUGUUAGGCAGCCCACGAAACGUUGGUAAAAUUUCAAGCAUGUGGUGCUUGAUUUCGAAUGUGUCUCCCUCUUCUUGGGCAUGAUAGACUAUACAAUUAGGAACAUCAUUUGCACGGGCAGCCAAUGACUAUCUGAGUGGUUUGCCUGUUGCAGGUAUUGCUAACAUCAUUUUAACCUCGUUGUCCACAAAUACAGCAAACAAAUCCUUCAGAAAUGUGUUAUGCAGUGAAGGAUCAAAUGCUAAAACUGUUCUCUAUGCUGUUUUCGUAAUAACCGUUCAAGUUCUGGGUUAAAUGGAACAAAUUGUGUAGGUUGUGAUAUGGUGCUGACCAUGCACAGAUUUCAGCAAUAAAAAAAAAACGAAAUAUUUUUUUUAAUUUUAAAAAAAAAAUGAAAAUAAUUAACUAAGAAUAUGAUAAAAACAAAUUAAUUAAAAAAAUCCCCGACGUCGGCGCCAAUUUCUUGAUAGGAUUUUUAGUACCUGCGCAAAUAGGGUUAAAAUCACUAAAAAUACUUGUAAGAAUACAAGGUAAUUGUAGUAUAGAUGCUCAUGCAACGUCGUUGUCCCCAAAGAUUUGUUGACUAAUUUGUAAUUAAACUAACUCUUAAUUAAUUAUUAAAACAGAUUUUAUCAAAGAUUUGAGAUUUAUGAAUUUAAAAAGAUUAGAUAAACAAUAAAAGAAAUCUUAAAGUUUGGAAAUAAUGGCAGCAAAGAAGAAAAACGCUUUUAAAUUAAAAUCAAUUAAGGGAAAUCUAGGGUUUAGCCGUCACCGUCACAAUCCUAUGCAAUUCUAUCAAUUACUUAUGAAUUUCCACAUACAUGCCUUAAAUGUUAGGUUUUCCUAAUGCAUAUUUUCCUUGUAAUGUUCAAGCGAAAACGUAUAUCUAACAUGCAAUCCGUCUGUGAUGUUCAGAUCAAAUAUAAACAUGCAAGAUUCAUUAAGUUUCAUGAAAACCCUUUGAAAAACCAUGCAACCCUUAAGAGCGUGAUGUUCGCCUAAAGUGAACUUACAAUUACAAAUCAAAUUACUUGUCUAAAUAUCCUAAUGGUGAUCAAUCAUUAAAAUAUAUAGAUAUUUUUAAUCUCGAUGAUUAAUAAUUCAAAGCAAGCAUGCAUGUCACAGCCCGUCCCGGGAUUUUCUUAUUAAGGACGUGAAAUGAUGGAUUUACCCUUAGCGGGUAUUAAGGUAUGUGUGUGACAUUAUUUGGUUUAACUUUAGAUAUGUUUGGGAAGAAAAUAAAUAAGAUGAGUUGGAUUAUUAAAUUUGGUUUUUGUUAAUUUUGGUUAGGGAUUUAGAUGAUGGAUGGUGUGGAUUGAAAUGGACCAUCUAAACCCUUACCCUCUUUCUAUCCCGUAGCUCUCUCUCUCUCCUCCAUCUCGACACUCUCUCUCUCACACCCAUAUUGUACGGCCACACCCAAAACCCCCCAAAACUCAGCGGAUCGAAGUAAACAAGUUAAGAAUCUUCAUCCUCGUGAUGUUUUGAGUUGAUUGGUGCUAGUUUUAGGACGUGGAACCUUCGAUUUCACGUGAACCCGAACCCCCCAUUUUUUGUCACUGUUCAUGCACACGUGAAAUGUUGUGUUUCAGGGAAUUCUAAGCUUAUAGUGAGCUUAGUGAGGUCCCAAGGAAGCUCGGAGUGCUUCGUUUGAAGGAUUUGGACGUCGGGAUCACGAGGGUUGAGUUUGGCCGGUUUUGCUUGGAUUUUUCCUGUGAGGUUUAGUUGUUUUUGGAGCUUAAAAAUAGUGUAUCGUGACUCUACAUGUUUGGGGCUUCAUUUUGGUAUAAAAUACGAAGAAAAUGGUUGAGAAACGAAGGAGAACAAGGCGUUUAAAGUUUGGCCGGAAACCGGCCGCCGGAAAAACCAGUCCGGCGAACCAAGGUUGGGGGGUGACGCGCGUGGGGGCGCGUGCGACACCAAAAAAUUAAUCUAAAAAUUUCUCGACGUUCGUGACGUCGAGUAGGUCGAUGGUAUAUUCAUAUAUCCAAAUUGAGCAUCGUAUGAGAAGUUAUUUCGAAUUGUUGAUUAUGUGUUUAAAUUAACGUUUUUAUAGUUGUUUCGCAUAUAGGUGACACCUAUCCCAAGGACGAGCGCAUCCAGGGAUGUCACGGGGGUUACGACCCAUCAACUUAUCAGUGAGUGGGCAGUUUUGUUUUUGUAUUACCUAUAUACAACUGUUUUUCCCAGAAAAUGCGUUUAUAUGAAAAUUAUGAUUUAAAUUGCCAUGCAUGCAAAUGUUGAGAUAUUUAGUUUGAUAAUGGAUGCAUAUAUAUGUUAAUUGACGCGAUGGACGCACAGGUGAGUUUUUAUAUUAUUCAUAUGAGUUAUUUUAUGAGAAUUGCAUUGAAAGCUCAUAACCUGCACCCUAGGUGUUAGUGCUUAUAUUAUUAUUCACCACACCGCAUGCUCGUCUUGGAUCCAAGUAGGUAGAUGUCGUACAGACCAUGUGAAGGUUCCGACAUGCUAGUCGUAUAGAUCACUAGAUGUGAUUCCGACUAGUGGGUGACCUUAGUUAUGCGCGCUGAUGAUUGAUGAGAGAAGCACUAAAGCGUAUUUAUACACUUUUCAUCGUACAGACUACUAUACGUAGUUCCGAGUGAUGUGCAGUGUAGUGUCGUACAGGUCACAGUUGGUGACUCCGGCAGGGCCGUAUAGGUCACUGUGGUGACUCCGGCUGAGUGGGAUGUUGAGCUUUAGAAUCAGCCAUACAGGACCAUUGUAGGGUCUCCGGUUGAUUUAUUAUUUCACCUGAUUGAUAUUGAUGCAUUUCUGAUUAUAUUUGGCAUGGCGUGGCAUAUUAUUUCUGAGAUGUUAUGUUGAUGGAUAUGAGCUGAGUUUUGAUGAUAUGUGUAUAUAUAUGUUUAUAUACUAUUUUUCUGGGAAAGUAUACAGGUUUUACGGUGAGGGGUUAGAAAUGUUUUAAAUGAAAUGUUUUGGAAAAUCUUUGAUUUUACUGACCCACUUAUCUUUGUUUUGCGCCCCUCCAGGUUCUAGUUAGCGGUUGGUGGCUCUCGGGGUCUUUUUCGGCAUUCUGACAGACGUUCUGCAUGUAGGGCUCACCUGCGGGUGAUGUAUUUUAUUUUGGUCCUACUUGACUGCACUUAAACCUAUGCUCUGAAUUUAUGUGUUUACCUUAUAACUCAUCCUUUUAUUCUAGUAGGUGGUUAUACUAGAGAUGGUUUGAAUUCCUUCAUAUUCUGUUAUAUCUUGCUUCCGUGUCGCACUUUUGGUUACGUCACGCUCUGACGGCCAGCACGCCUUGAUCCUCUGGGUCGGGGUGUGUCAAUGCAUCCAUUCAUAAGCAAGUUAAUAAAAUUACAUAUUCAUGCUAAGGCUCAUGGCAUCGCCCUAGCAAAAGAAAUUAGUUACACAUACUCAUAAUAAAAAUCAAAGAAAAUAUUCUUAGAAUGAAAACACCUUGAAGUAGAAAAUCUAAAAGCCUUUGAAAACCCCAGCGUAACACAAACUAGGGUUGACUAAAAUAUAUCCCUAAAACCAGCGGCACAAUCCCUGAGAACCAAGUCUCUUAUUUCCACUAGGAAGCUAACUAAUAAUAAUAAUAUAACUUAGAAAAUAGAGUUUUAAUUAAACUAGGACAAUCUGUACAGAAACUGUCCAGCCACGUUUUAGCCUCAAAUCUCCUCUAAAUCUGUCCCAUAAUAGCUUAAUUUGAAGAUCGGGACGUUUUGAACACAUCUCCAUAAGGUCACAAACCCAUCUGAGGUCAUCUUGGACUCCAAAAACACAAUUCAAGCCCGAAACAUCACUAUUCCAGCACCUUUAUUCUAUUGCCAGAAAAUAACCGCCUAGUG
rnacentral:lncRNA from 1 species